rnacentral:rRNA from 1 species
AUUGAACGCCGGCGGCAUGCCUUACACAUGCAAGUCGAACGGUAACAGGUCUUCGGAUGCUGACGAGUGGCGAACGGGUGAGUAAUACAUCGGAACGUGCCUAGUAGUGGGGGAUAACUACUCGAAAGAGUGGCUAAUACCGCAUGAGAUCUACGGAUGAAAGCAGGGGAUCGCAAGACCUUGUGCUACUAGAGCGGCCGAUGGCAGAUUAGGUAGUUGGUGGGAUAAAAGCUUACCAAGCCGACGAUCUGUAGCUGGUCUGAGAGGACGAUCAGCCACACUGGGACUGAGACACGGCCCAGACUCCUACGGGAGGCAGCAGUGGGGAAUUUUGGGCAAUGGGCGCAAGCCUGAUCCAGCAAUGCCGCGUGCAGGAUGAAGGCCUUCGGGUUGUAAACUGCUUUUGUACGGAACGAAAAGCCCUGGGUUAGUACCCUGGGGUCAUGACGGUACCGUAAGAAUAAGCACCGGCUAACUACGUGCCAGCAGCCGCCGUAAGAC